rnacentral:rRNA from 1 species
ACAUCCAGAGAACUUGGCAGAGAUGCCUUGGUGCCUUCGGGACCUCUGAGACAGGUGCUGCAUGGCUGUCGUCAGCUCGUGUUGUGAAAUGUUGGGUUAAGUCCCGNAACGAGCGCAACCCCUAUCCUUUGUUGCCAGCGAUUCGGUCGGGAACUCAAAGGAGACUGCCGGUGAUAAACCGGAGGAAGGUGGGGAUGACGUCAAGUCAUCAUGGCCCUUACGAGUAGGGCUACACACGUGCUACAAUGGCGCAUACAAAGAGAAGCGACCUCGCGAGAGCAAGCGGACCGUCAUAAAGUGCGUCGUAGUCCGGAUCGGAGUCUGCAACUCGACUCCGUGAAGUCGGAAUCGCUAGUAAUCGUAGAUCAGAAUGCUACGGUGAAUACGUUCCCGGGCCUUGUACACACCGCCCGUCACACCAUGGGAGUGGGUUGCAAAAGAAGUAGAUAGCUUAACCUUCGGGAGGGCGUUUACCACUUUGUGAUUCAUGACUGGGGUGAAGUCGUAACAAGGUAGGCGUAGCGAG